UAGUGGAGUGAUCUGUCUGGUUAAUUCCGAUAACGAACGAGAUCCUACCCAUUUAACUAGCAGAACCAACUAUUAUGUAGGUAAAUGCUUCUUAGAGGAACAAUGUGGAAUAAAUACCACAGGGAAGUGGGGCGUAUAACA
rnacentral:rRNA from 1 species